rnacentral:rRNA from 1 species
UACGUAGGGUGCGAGCGUUGUCCGGAAUUAUUGGGCGUAAAGGGCUCGUAGGCGGUUUGUCACGUCGGGAGUGAAAACUCGGGGCUUAACCCCGAGCCUGCUUCCGAUACGGGCAGACUAGAGGUAUGCAGGGGGAGAACGAAUUCCUGGUGUAGCGGUGAAAAUGCGCAGAUAUCAGGAGGAACACCGGUGGCGAAGGCGGUUCUCUGGGCAUUACCUGACGCUGAGGAGCGAAAGUGUGGGGAGCGAACAGG